CAAGGCCUUGCAGUAAAAUCCUGCUGGCCUGGUACAUGGUACAGGUCUGCUUAAAAGGUCUGCUUGGCCGGAAUCCCACGUGAACUUAUGGGACCCUCACGAUCACUUUUGGAGGUGACACGCACAGAGAAGGACACCAUGCCACUUCUGUGACGGUCCUGACGGAAAUGCAGGACCUACGUCUGAUCAGGAGAAGCCGUCGGAUAAACUCCAACUGAGGAAACUUCUACGAAGUAACGGGGCUAUAAUCUUGAACGCCCGUGGGAUUCAGCCGUGUCGCGUCGAUCAGAAGUCUGCUCCUUUCCAUUGCUAAGUCGUAUUCCAC